AUGAACGCUGGCGGCGUGCCUAAUACAUGCAAGUCGAGCGAACAGAUGAGGAGCUUGCUCCUCUGAUGUUAGCGGCGGACGGGUGAGUAACACGUGGAUAACCUACCUAUAAGACUGGGAUAACUUCGGGAAACCGGAGCUAAUACCGGAUAAUAUAUUGAACCGCAUGGUUCAAUAGUGAAAGACGGUUUUGCUGUCACUUAUAGAUGGAUCCGCGCCGCAUUAGCUAGUUGGUAAGGUAACGGCUUACCAAGGCAACGAUGCGUAGCCGACCUGAGAGGGUGAUCGGCCACACUGGAACUGAGACACGGUCCAGACUCCUACGGGAGGCAGCAGUAGGGAAUCUUCCGCAAUGGGCGAAAGCUUGACGGAGCAACGCCGCGUGAGUGAUGAAGGUCUUCGGAUCGUAAAACUCUGUUAUUAGGGAAGAACAAAUGUGUAAGUAACUAUGCACGUCUUGACGGUACCUAAUCAGAAAGCCACGGCUAACUACGUG
rnacentral:rRNA from 1 species